UACGUAGGGUGCAAGCGUUGUCCGGAAUUAUUGGGCGUAAAGAGCUCGUAGGCGGUUUGUUGCGUCGGCUGUGAAAUCCCGAGGCUCAACCUCGGGUCUGCAGUCGAUACGAGCAAACUAGAGUGUUGCAGGGGAGACUGGAAUUCCUGGUGUAGCGGUGGAAUGCGCAGAUAUCAGGAGGAACACCGGUGGCGAAGGCGGGGUCUCUGGG
rnacentral:rRNA from 1 species